rnacentral:rRNA from 1 species
GACAGAGGUGCCGAGCGUUAGGCGGAAUCACUGGGCUUAAAGCGUGUGUAGGCGGGCCGUUAAGUGUCUUGUGAAAUCCCCCGGCUCAACCGGGGAAUUGCUGGGCAUACUGGCGGUCUUGAGCGAUCUAGGGGCAGAUGGAACAAGUGGUGGAGCGGUGAAAUGCGUAGAUAUCACUUGGAACGCCAAAGGUGAAGACAGUCUGCUGGGGAUCUGCUGACGCUGAGACACGAAAGCCAGGGGAGCAAACAGG